rnacentral:rRNA from 1 species
AUUGAACGCUGGCGGCAUGCCUUACACAUGCAAGUCGAACGGCAGCACGGGUGCUUGCACCUGGUGGCGAGUGGCGAAAGGGUGAGUAAUACAUCGGAACAUGUCCUGUAGUGGGGGAUAGCCCGGCGAAAGCCGGAUUAAUACCGCAUACGAUCCACGGAUGAAAGCGGGGGACCUUCGGGCCUCGCGCUAUAGGGUUGGCCGAUGGCUGAUUAGCUAGUUGGUGGGGUAAAGGCCUACCAAGGCGACGAUCAGUAGCUGGUCUGAGAGGACGACCAGCCACACUGGGACUGAGACACGGCCCAGACUCCUACGGGAGGCAGCAGUGGGGAAUUUUGGACAAUGGGCGAAAGCCUGAUCCAGCAAUGCCGCGUGUGUGAAGAAGGCCUUCGGGUUGUAAAGCACUUUUGUCCGGAAAGAAAUCCUUGACUCUAAUACAGUCGGGGGAUGACGGUACCGGAAGAAUAAGCACCGGCUAACUACGUG